rnacentral:rRNA from 1 species
GCCGAGCGGUAUAGAUCUUUCGGGAUCUAGAGAGCGGCGUACGGGUGCGGAACACGUGUGCAACCUGCCUUUAUCUGGGGGAUAGCCUUUCGAAAGGGAGAUUAAUACCCCAUAAUAUAUCAGAUGGCAUCAUUUGAUAUUGAAAACUCCGGUGGAUAGAGAUGGGCACGCGCAAGAUUAGAUAGUUGGUGAGGUAACGGCUCACCAAGUCUACGAUCUUUAGGGGGCCUGAGAGGGUGAUCCCCCACACUGGUACUGAGACACGGACCAGACUCCUACGGGAGGCAGCAGUGAGGAAUAUUGGACAAUGGGUGAGAGCCUGAUCCAGCCAUCCCGCGUGAAGGACGACGGCCCUAUGGGUUGUAAACUUCUUUUGUAUAGGGAUAAACCUACCCUCGUGAGGGUAGCUGAAGGUACUAUACGAAUAAGCACCGGCUAACUCCGUGCCAGCAGCCGCGGUAAUACGGAGGGUGCAAGCGUUAUCCGGAUUUAUUGGGUUUAAAGGGUCCGUAGGCGGAUGUGUAAGUCAGUGGUGAAAUCUCACAGCUUAACUGUGAAACUGCCAUUGAUACUGCAUGUCUUGAGUGUUGUUGAAGUAGCUGGAAUAAGUAGUGUAGCGGUGAAAUGCAUAGAUAUUACUUAGAACACCAAUUGCGAAGGCAGGUUACUAAGCAACAACUGACGCUGAUGGACGAAAGCGUGGGGAGCGAACAGGAUUAGAUACCCUGGUAGUCCACGCCGUNNNCGAUGCNNNCUCGUUUUUGGGCUUUCGGGUUCAGAGACUAAGCGAAAGUGAUAAGUUAGCCACCUGGGGAGUACGUUCGCAAGAAUGAAACUCNNNNGAAUUGACGGGGGCCCGCACAAGCGGUGGAUUNNNUGGUNNNAUUCGAUGANNCGCNNNGAACCUUAC